rnacentral:rRNA from 1 species
CAAUAGCGUAUAUUAAAGUUGUUGCAGUUAAAAAGCUCGUAGUUGAACUUUGGGCGCAGGUCUCUGGUCUACUGAAAAGUAUGUACUUGGGGGCUGCGCCUUUUGCCUGUGUGGCCGGCGUGCUCUUUACUGGGUGCGGCGGGCGGACGGGCGGUUUACUGUGAAAAAAUUAGAGUGUUUAAGGCAGGCGUUUGCUUGAAUACAUUAGCAUGGAAUAAUAAGAUAGGAUUUUUGUUCUAUUUUGUUGGUUUCUAGGACGAAAGUAAUGAUUAAUAGGGAUAGUUGGGGGCAUUAGUAUUGAGCUGUCAGAGGUGAAAUUCUUGGAUUUGCUCAAGACUAACAACUGCGAAAGCAUUUGCCAAGGAUGUUUUCAUUAA